CAGGCUUAACACAUGCAAGUCGAGGGGCAUCAGGAAGAAAGCUUGCUUUCUUUGCUGGCGACCGGCGCACGGGUGAGUAACACGUAUCCAACCUGCCCUUUACUCGGGGAUAGCCUUUCGAAAGAAAGAUUAAUACCCGAUAGCAUAAUGAUUCCGCAUGGUUUCAUUAUUAAAGGAUUCCGGUAAAGGAUGGGGAUGCGUUCCAUUAGGUUGUUGGUGAGGUAACGGCCCACCAAGCCUUCGAUGGAUAGGGGUUCUGAGAGGAAGGUCCCCCACAUUGGAACUGAGACACGGUCCAAACUCCUACGGGAGGCAGCAGUGAGGAAUAUUGGUCAAUGGGCGCUAGCCUGAACCAGCCAAGUAGCGUGAAGGAUGAAGGCUCUAUGGGUCGUAAACUUCUUUUAUAUAAGAAUAAAGUGCAGUAUGUAUACUGUUUUGUAUGUAUUAUAUGAAUAAGGAUCGGCUAACUCCGUGCCAGCAGCCGCGGUAAUACGGAGGAUCCGAGCGUUAUCCGGAUUUAUUGGGUUUAAAGGGAGCGUAGGCGGACUGGUAAGUCAGUUGUGAAAGUUUGCGGCUCAACCGUAAAAUUGCAGUUGAUACUGUCAGUCUUGAGUACAGUAGAGGUGGGCGGAAUUCGUGGUGUAGCGGUGAAAUGCUUAGAUAUCACGAAGAACUCCGAUUGCGAAGGCAGCUCACUGGACUGCAACUGACACCGAUGCUCGAAAGUGUGGGUAUCAAACAGGAUUAGAUACCCUGGUAGUCCACACAGUAAACGAUGAAUACUCGCUGUUUGCGAUAUACAGUAAGCGGCCAAGCGAAAGCAUUAAGUAUUCCACCUGGGGAGUACGCCGGCAACGGUGAAACUCAAAGGAAUUGACGGGGGCCCGCACAAGCGGAGGAACAUGUGGUUUAAUUCGAUGAUACGCGAGGAACCUUACCCGGGCUUAAAUUGCAGUGGAAUGAUGUGGAAACAUGUCAGUGAGCAAUCACCGCUGUGAAGGUGCUGCAUGGUUGUCGUCAGCUCGUGCCGUGAGGUGUCGGCUUAAGUGCCAUAACGAGCGCAACCCUUAUCUUCAGUUACUAACAGGUCAUGCUGAGGACUCUGGAGAGACUGCCGUCGUAAGAUGUGAGGAAGGUGGGGAUGACGUCAAAUCAGCACGGCCCUUACGUCCGGGGCUACACACGUGUUACAAUGGGGGGUACAGAAGGCAGCUAGCGGGUGACCGUAUGCUAAUCCCAAAAGCCUCUCUCAGUUCGGAUCGAAGUCUGCAACCCGACUUCGUGAAGCUGGAUUCGCUAGUAAUCGCGCAUCAGCCACGGCGCGGUGAAUACGUUCCCGGGCCUUGUACACACCGCCCGUCAAGCCAUGGGAGCCGGGGGUACCUGAAGUACGUAACCGCAAGGAUCGUCCUAGGGUAAAACUGGUGACUGGGGCUAAGU
rnacentral:rRNA from 1 species